UGGGGUCUGGAAUGUUGGUUUGGGGACCCUGAGGCCUGGCUCCUGGGGUAGGGCUGGACCCAAAGCGCUGCUGGCUUCGCCUUGCCUUCAAGGCGGCCCGGCUCUGGCUGCAGCAGCAGUAGCCUACAGGAAG